rnacentral:rRNA from 1 species
UACGAAGGGGGCUAGCGUUGUUCGGAAUUACUGGGCGUAAAGCGCGUGUAGGCGGGUCUUUAAGUCAGGGGUGAAAUGCCAAGGCUCAACCUUGGAACUGCCUUUGAUACUGGAGACCUUGAGUCCGGGAGAGGUGAGUGGAACUGCGAGUGUAGAGGUGAAAUUCGUAGAUAUUCGCAAGAACACCAGUGGCGAAGGCGGCUCACUGGCCCGGUACUGACGCUGAGGUGCGAAAGCGUGGGGAGCAAACAGG